rnacentral:lncRNA from 1 species
GAAGAGGUUUCACCAUGUUGACCAGGAUGGCCUCGAUCUCCUGACCUCGUGAUCCACCUGCCUUGGCCUCCCAAAGUGCUGGGAUUACAGGCGUGAGCCACCAUGCCCGGCCUAAAACUUUUUUUUUCUUUUUAAGUAGAGAUGAGGUCUCACUAUGUUGCCCAGGUUGGUUUCAAACUCCUGAGCUCAAGUAAUCCUCCAGCCUCCCGAAGUGCUGGGAUUACAGGUGUGAGCCACCAUGCCUAACCUCACAUUUGUUAAGGAAUUUAGAAGGCAACUUUGCUAGGCACGGUGACUCACACUUGUGAUCCCAUCACUGAGAAACUGAGGCAGGAGUAUCACUUGAGUCCACGAGUUCGAGACCAGCCUGGGCAACAUAGGGAGACCCCAUCUCUACAAAAAUAUUUAAAAAUUCGCUGGAUGUGAUGGCACAUGACGGGUUCCAGCCAUUCCAGAGGCUGAAGUAGAAGGGACACUGGAGUCCAGGAGGUCAAGGCUGCAGUGAGCCACAGUCAUGCCACUGCACUCCAGCUUGAGUGACAGAGUGAGACCAUGUCUCAAAAACAUAAAGAAAGGCAGCUUCAACUCAUGCACUGAGCCCUGAGGUUACUGGGAACGGCAGGUGCAAAUAUCUCAUGAGGAGAUAGAAAGUUGGCAUAAUUUGGAUGAGAAAGGCUACUAUGGCUGCAAUAUGGUGAGGGAGGAGGUUGGAGCUUCAGAAGCAGGUGGAGGACAGAUGUGCAUGAUUUAGAGAACCAAGGGAAGGAAUUGGGUUUUUAUCUGAAAUCUGAUGAGAAAUUAUGUUUGCAAUUGAUUUCUCAUCAGAUUUUACUAAAAUACAGAGAAUCAGUAGGAAGGGUACUAGCUGUACUCUGAUAGAUUUCUAAGUACUGCAAAUGGUGCUAAGUGCUUUGUAGCUGUUCUCUUAUUUAAUCCUUAGAACAAUCCUGUGAAGAACCUUCUAAAUCUGAUGGUAUUUAUGGCUGUAAGUUGCUG